rnacentral:tRNA from 1 species
AUUUAUUUAGUAUAUAAGUACAUUUGACUUCCAAUCAAAAAGAUUGAACUACUUCAAAAUAAAUA